rnacentral:rRNA from 1 species
CAGUAGCCGCGGGAAUACAGAGGGUGCGAGCGUUAAUCGGAUUUACUGGGCGUAAAGCGUGCGUAGGCGGCUUCUUAAGUCGGAUGUGAAAUCCCUGAGCUUAACUUAGGAAUUGCAUUCGAUACUGGGAAGCUAGAGUAUGGGAGAGGAUGGUAAAAUUCCAGGUGUAGCGGUGAAAUGCGUAGAGAUCUGGAGGAAUACCGAUGGCGAAGGCAGCCAUCUGGCCUAAUACUGACGCUGAGGUACGAAAGCAUGGGGAGCAAACAGGAUUAGAUACCCGAGUAGUCCCUGUCUCUUAUAA